rnacentral:rRNA from 1 species
UACGUAGGGGCAAGCGUUGUCCGGAAUCAUUGGGCGUAAAGAGCGUGUAGGCGGCCAGACAGGUCCGUUGUGAAACUCGAGGCUCAACCUCGAGACGCCGAUGGAAACCGUCUGGCUAGAGUCCGGAAGAGGAGAGUGGAAUUCCUGGUGUAGCGGUGAAAUGCGCAGAUAUCAGGAAGAACACCCGUGGCUAAGGCGGCUCUCUAGUACGGUACUGACGCUGAGACGCGAAAGCGUGGGGAGCGAACAGG